AAUCAGCUGAGCCAUGUUGGCAAUCCGGAUUCCACCCAGAUGCCACAGGUUUCAGGAAUGGAGUCUGCCACUUAUUCAUUCUAACUUGACGUGCCAGUCAUCAGCAGACUUGAGCACUCUCAGGCAAAUAACAGCAAGAGGAGAGAAAUCUGAAAUCUGAGGUGCAGUUGAUUUGAAUCCAGGAAAUCUAAGGAAAAAGUUCAAGCUCUUAAUCAUUUCAUACUCUCCUUGUUGCUAACUUAAACUUUUUUUUUAAAAAAGUUAAUCUUGUCUAUGAAGCAUGAAUCUAUAAUACUAGGGAAAAAACUGGCUAACUUGAAGAAAAAAUAAAUUGAAAUGAAAAGCAAUUAAUUCCUCUUAAUAUGAAUAAAGGAUGAUCUAAAUGC